GGGCUUGUGGUUUAGUGGUAUAAUACUCCCUUAGCAUCGCAGAUGCAUGCAAAACCAAAACUGGGAGUGGUCCGGGGUUCGAUUCCCCGCGAGUCCA